rnacentral:rRNA from 1 species
UUGUGGUUAAAAAGCUCGUAGUUGGAUCUCGGCGGACUGAGGGCGGUUUGCUUGCUAGUAUUACUGCCCUAUAGUCCGUAGUUUUGCCAGAGGUUUCGGGGUGCUCUUAAUCGAGUGUCCCGGGAUGCUGGCAGGUUUACUUUGAAAAAAUUAGAGUGCUCAAAGCAGGCUAUUACGCCUGAAUAUUCGUGCAUGGAAUAAUAGAAUAGGAAGUCGUUUCUAUUUUGUUGGUUUUCGGAAAUCGACUUAAUGAUUAAUAGGGACAGUCGGGGGCAUUUGUAUUCAAACGACAGAGGUGAAAUUCUUGGACCGUUUGAAGACAAACUACUGCGAAAGCAUUUGCCAAGAAUGUUUUCAUUAAUCAAGAACGAAAGUUAAAGGUUCGAAGGCGAUUAGAUACCGCCCUAGUUUUAACCAUAAACGAUGCCAGCUAGCGAUCUGCGGACGUUUUUUUUGUAGACUCCGCAGGAAGCUUCCCGGGAAACCAAAGCAUUUGGGUUCCAGGGGAAGUAUGGUUGCAAAGCUGAAACUUAAAGGAAUUGACGGAAGGGCACCACCAGGAGUGGAGCCUGUGGCUUAAUUUGACUCAACACGGGAAAUCUCACCAGGCCCGGACACUGGAAGGAUGGACAGAUUGA